AGUUUAAUAGUCAAACUAAUGAUUUUAAAUUGCAAAUUUAAAGUUAAGUAAUUUUUUAAACUU
rnacentral:tRNA from 2 species